rnacentral:rRNA from 1 species
AUUGAACGCUGGCGGCAGGCCUAACACAUGCAAGUCGAGCGGAUGAAGGGAGCUUGCUCCUGGAUUCAGCGGCGGACGGGUGAGUAAUGCCUAGGAAUCUGCCUGGUAGUGGGGGAUAACGUCCGGAAACGGGCGCUAAUACCGCAUACGUCCUGAGGGAGAAAGUGGGGGAUCUUCGGACCUCACGCUAUCAGAUGAGCCUAGGUCGGAUUAGCUAGUUGGUGGGGUAAAGGCCUACCAAGGCGACGAUCCGUAACUGGUCUGAGAGGAUGAUCAGUCACACUGGAACUGAGACACGGUCCAGACUCCUACGGGAGGCAGCAGUGGGGAAUAUUGGAUAAUGGGCGAAAGCCUGAUCCAGCCAUGCCGCGUGUGUGAAGAAGGUCUUCGGAUUGUAAAGCACUUUAAGUUGGGAGGAAGGGCAGUAAGUUAAUACCUUGCUGUUUUGGCGUUACCAACAGAAUAAGCACCGGCUAACUUCGUG